UACGUAGGGUGCAAGCGUUGUCCGGAAUUAUUGGGCGUAAAGAGCUCGUAGGUGGCGGGUCACGUCGGGUGUGAAAGCCCGGGGCUUAACCCCGGGUCUGCAUUCGAUACGGGUCUGCUGGGGUCCGGCAGGGGAGACUGGAAUUCCUGGUGUAGCGGUGAAAUGCGUAGAGAUCGGAAAGAACACCAACGGCGAAAGCACUCUGCUGGGCCGACACUGACACUGAGAGACGAAAGCUAGGGGAGCGAACAGG
rnacentral:rRNA from 1 species